ACAGUAUUUCUACAAAACACGGGAAACACACCCAUUCCCGUUUCUCCCCUCUCUCUCAAAUAUCCUCUUUCUGACACCCCACCACCUGUUUUGGACGAAAUUGGGUUGGAUCCGUUUCUGGGCAAAGUGCAGCAAAGGCAGACAAUGUCGACCCAUGUGGUUCGCCACCAUGGGUUUACGUGACGACGUCGGAAUUUGAAGAAAUCAAACUGGGUCAAAUGAAGAUUGCGAAUGGCGAUUUUUAUGGAAUCGAUUCAGAUAGACUAAGUGUUGUUUGGACUGAAUUGAGCCCUAGUUAGAGUCGCCUGGACGUGGGCAACUAAUCGGUGAUGGUCCAAGAUCAAGUUGCUGGUCGGAGGGUGGAAUUUCGACAGUUUUCUGCAAUAGCUUAUUAUUACUAUGCCCUUUCAUUAAUCUUUUUGAAGAAAUUAAUUAUGAGAUUUAUACAUCUGAUCUCCUUGAAAAUAAACUGAUAUAGAUAUAUGUGUCCGUGAUUAUGAAAUUUGGCUUAUGUGUUGUGAAUAUUUGAAAUUUUUGUUUAUUGAUUUGUAAUGGCGAAUUAUUUAUUAGUUAAAAGGUUAGAAAUGUGAAUUUUCAGUGGAAAGAAUGGUAGAGCUUGGUGAUUAGAAAAUAAUGGAAGUUAACUUUAAUAGUAGAAUAGUUCCACUUUCCAUAGCAGAGCUAGUUAAAUUUAGGAAUACUACUAUAUAGUAUACAAUUGGAGCGAUGACAAGAGUUACUAAGGAGAAAUAAUGCUCAAAAUGCUAAAAGAUUUGACAUCAUGUGAAAGGAAAAUUAUACUAGCCUCCUAUCAAUACACUGUGCACAUACAUUUAAUGUCAACUGAAUAUUAUCCGUGUACUAAAUCCUUUUAACUUCUCUGCAGUGCUGGGUUUAUUUACCUUAGUGCUUAGUGAUUUCUAAGUGCUUCUUGUUUCAUCGAACUAAGGAUUAAUAUAUUAUUUGUAUUAUUCACCUGAAUGUGUGAAAAUAUAUGCUCGGAACCUUUGUUGGUGUUGGGGGUGUGUGAUAAAUUGAAAUGAUUUUCUAUUGCAAAAUUGAUUUGAAUUAGCUUAAAUUCUAUGAUCAAUUUAGCUUGCAAUUUGUUUUUGGUGACUCUUUGGUAGUUAGUCUUCAUUUUAUCAAGCAUGCUAGAUCACCAUGAAUUGAUAUAGAAUGGGUUUAUGAUCUUAACUGCAUGUCUCUAGCAGAGUCACUGCCAUGUUUUCCUUUCUUCAUUGAAUCAAAUUGUUGGAAAUUAUCUAAGUCUAUGCAUUGUUAGAAUGUGCUGUGAUUUGAAUUAAUGUUGACUUGGAGGAUUUGAAAUUCUUUAUAUGAUUGGCUAGAGAAAGUUUUGGUUUAAUUGUUGUAUUGGUGUGUAAAUUCGAGUUGAUGAUCAUAUGGUUAUUUCAAUUCAAGUUUGAUGAAUCAUGUACCUCAAUAAUGUUAAUGCCCUGAAAAAAUUUGAAUGUGGUUAUACGUAUAUGGAAUUAAUCCAAUGCAAUGGGAUGUAUUUUAUAUCUUGUUUAGUGUCUGCAUGAGGCUCAGAAUAAGCUGACCAAGUCAAGAAAGCCAUAUCUUCACGAAUCUAGGCAUUUUCAUGCAUUAAAGAGGGCUAGGAGUUCCAGAGGGUGGUUUUUAAACACGAAGAAUACACAACAAUCAAAGCUUUCAUCCAAAACAUAUGGUAAAAAUCUCUCUUUAAAAUAGUUCAAUAAAGACAGAAGCUGAGAUUCAUCAUUCGGAAAGUAGCAGUUGGGGUCUCUUGCCUGCUAACUCUGAUUUCUCGAACAUAUUGAACAAGCACGAUAUUUUCCAACCACCUGAUGACAUGCUUCAAUUAUUUAUCGAUAAAUGUGCACCAAUCAGCACCACAACUUGAGCUUGCACUCCGAUGGAGAAUUGGCAACUCAUCCUUGGCUAUAUUUUACUGCUUUGUAGAACUUGAAUCAUCUUAUUUGAAUAACAGGGGCUUCGUCCUUGGCAUUGUUAUUUUGGGAUUUGUAAUUGGUUAAGAUUAGAGCUUGCAAACAAACAGAAAAUCUUAAUUGGUUAUUCGCAUGAAAUUCUUGGAUUAUAUAAAUAAUCAUCUUUUUUGUUUCCACAA